AAUGAACGCUGGCGGCGUGCCUAAUACAUGCAAGUCGAGCGAACAGACGAGGAGCUUGCUCCUCUGACGUUAGCGGCGGACGGGUGAGUAACACGUGGAUAACCUACCUAUAAGACUGGGAUAACUUCGGGAAACCGGAGCUAAUACCGGAUAAUAUAUUGAACCGCAUGGUUCAAUAGUGAAAGACGGUUUUGCUGUCACUUAUAGAUGGAUCCGCGCCGCAUUAGCUAGUUGGUAAGGUAACGGCUUACCAAGGCAACGAUGCGUAGCCGACCUGAGAGGGUGAUCGGCCACACUGGAACUGAGACACGGUCCAGACUCCUACGGGAGGCAGCAGUAGGGAAUCUUCCGCAAUGGGCGAAAGCUUGACGGAGCAACGCCGCGUGAGUGAUGCAGGUCUUCGGAUCGUAAAACUCUGUUAUUAGGGAAGAACAAAUGUGUAAGUAACUAUGCACGUCUUGACGGUACCUAAUCAGAAAGCCACGGCUAACUACGUG
rnacentral:rRNA from 1 species